rnacentral:rRNA from 1 species
AUGCAAGUCGAGCGGUAGCACAGAGAGCUUGCUCUCGGGUGACGAGCGGCGGACGGGUGAGUAAUGUCUGGGAAACUGCCUGAUGGAGGGGGAUAACUACUGGAAACGGUAGCUAAUACCGCAUAACGUCGCAAGACCAAAGUGGGGGACCUUCGGGCCUCAUGCCAUCAGAUGUGCCCAGAUGGGAUUAGCUAGUAGGUGGGGUAACGGCUCACCUAGGCGACGAUCCCUAGCUGGUCUGAGAGGAUGACCAGCCACACUGGAACUGAGACACGGUCCAGACUCCUACGGGAGGCAGCAGUGGGGAAUAUUGCACAAUGGGCGCAAGCCUGAUGCAGCCAUGCCGCGUGUGUGAAGAAGGCCUUCGGGUUGUAAAGCACUUUCAGCGGGGAGGAAGGCGAUAAGGUUAAUAACCUUGUCGAUUGACGUUACCCGCAGAAGAAGCACCGGCUAACUCCGUGCCAGCAGCCGCGGUAAUACGGAGGGUGCAAGCGUUAAUCGGAAUUACUGGGCGUAAAGCGCACGCAGGCGGUCUGUCAAGUCGGAUGUGAAAUCCCCGGGCUCAACCUGGGAACUGCAUUCGAAACUGGCAGGCUAGAGUCUUGUAGAGGGGGGUAGAAUUCCAGGUGUAGCGGUGAAAUGCGUAGAGAUCUGGAGGAAUACCGGUGGCGAAGGCGGCCCCCUGGACAAAGACUGACGCUCAGGUGCGAAAGCGUGGGGAGCAAACAGGAUUAGAUACCCUGGUAGUCCACGCCGUAAACGAUGUCGAUUUGGAGGUUGUGCCCUUGAGGCGUGGCUUCCGGAGCUAACGCGUUAAAUCGACCGCCUGGGGAGUACGGCCGCAAGGUUAAAACUCAAAUGAAUUGACGGGGGCCCGCACAAGCGGUGGAGCAUGUGGUUUAAUUCGAUGCAACGCGAAGAACCUUACCUGGUCUUGACAUCCACAGAACUUUCCAGAGAUGGAUUGGUGCCUUCGGGAACUGUGAGACAGGUGCUGCAUGGCUGUCGUCAGCUCGUGUUGUGAAAUGUUGGGUUAAGUCCCGCAACGAGCGCAACCCUUAUCCUUUGUUGCCAGCGGUUMGGCCGGGAACUCAAAGGAGACUGCCAGUGAUAAACUGGAGGAAGGUGGGGAUGACGUCAAGUCAUCAUGGCCCUUACGACCAGGGCUACACACGUGCUACAAUGGCAUAUACAAAGAGAAGCGACCUCGCGAGAGCAAGCGGACCUCAUAAAGUAUGUCGUAGUCCGGAUUGGAGUCUGCAACUCGACUCCAUGAAGUCGGAAUCGCUAGUAAUCGUAGAUCAGAAUGCUACGGUGAAUACGUUCCCGGGCCUUGUACACACCGCCCGUCACACCAUGGGAGUGGGUUGCAAAAGAAGUAG